GAAAAAAACCUUGGGAGAAACCAGGCUUAGUCGGGGUGCCAGUUCUCCUCUGGCCAACAGUGCUUUGUUACAAUUCAGGUUGCUAUCAUAAGUCCAAUAGGAUCGCAACAUUAAAAGUAUUUAUUUCAGUUCCAUCCAAUUGAGGAUCGAACUAGCACAACUUUGUCAAAAAAAAUAGCUGGUGAACUGGCAGAAAAGAUCAUUGAAAUGAAAAAUAACAAACAGCUCAUCCCCUUUUCUGCAAAGAAAGACUGAAUGUAGGAAACAGGAUGUUAGCUAAGUUUGAGUAGAUUGUAAGUAGAUACGUUUUGUUUUUCAUAAUUUAAAGUUCAAGUUGCUUUGCCCCUACGAUGACAUGGUAGAGACUUGUUUGAUUAUUUGUAGUGCUGCCAGUGCAGCAUGUUUAUUUUAUUUUGUUGUUUUUUUUUGUUUUAUGUAAUGUUAAUUCAAGUAAAGUUUGAUACAACAUAAUUAGACUGUUCAGAUCUGAUGCCCUAGUGAACAAUGGGUUUGUAUAAAUAUAUUGUUAAUAAAACAACUUUCUCUAA